GACGAACGCUGGAGGCGUGCUUAACACAUGCAAGUCGAACGAUGAAAUGGAGCUUGCUCCAUGGAUUAGUGGCGAACGGGUGAGUAACACGUGAAUAACCUGCCCUUAAUUUUGGAAUAACCCAGGGAAACCUGGGCUAAUACCGGAUAAGUAAACCUGUGGCAUCACAUGGUUUUGGAAAGUUUUUCGAUUAAGGAUGGAUUCGCGGCCUAUCAGCUUGUUGGUGAGGUAAUGGCUCACCAAGGCGACGACGGGUAGCCGGCCUGAGAGGGUGAACGGCCACACGGGGACUGAGACACGGCCCAGACUCCUACGGGAGGCAGCAGUGGGGAAUAUUGCGCAAUGGACGAAAGUCUGACGCAGCGACGCCUCGUGAGGGACGAAGGUCUUCGGAUUGUAAACCUCUUUCAGCAGGGACGAAGCGAAAGUGACGGUACCUGCAGAAGAAGCACCGGCUAACUAUGUGCCAGCAGCCGCGGUAA
rnacentral:rRNA from 1 species